rfam:Felis catus isolate Cinnamon breed Abyssinian chromosome D1, whole genome shotgun sequence.
GGGGAUGCUGGUGUGGGCACCCUACAUGCUAAAAUUGGAACAAUACUGAGAUGAUGACCGUGGCCUCUGUGCCACGGUGGCACGCACAUUUGUGAAGUGUUCCAUGUUUAG